UUUUUUCUGUGCUUCCCAUGUCUCACGCGAUAGCGUGCUUCCGGGUUACGUUGACUGUUGUCAUUAUAUUCAUGACUACAGGUAUAGCUUGUGGCGAUGUCAUCGAGUUUUCCCGAGGAACACACGAUCAAGUGGAUUGAUUAACACCUCCAGAUAAGGACGUGCUGAGGAAAUGCAACAAGAAUCCCAAGGCAAAAGGCAUUCACCUCGAAAGCGAGGGGCCGAGGGAGUAGUAAGUAAUGAUGACCUUCAAACACUUGGCAAAGCUAUUGGUGUCAAGUGGGAUCGACUGGCACGUCGACUACCUGGAAUUACAGAAGAUGACAUAGAAGAAAUUGAAGACAGAUAUAAAAAUUUGUCUCAAAGGGGAUUUCAUAUGCUGAAACUGUGGAAAACAAACAAUGGGGAAGCUGCAGACUAUAAGACUUUGUAUGAUGCAUUAGUCCAUGAGUUGGUACAGCGGAAAGACUUAGCACAAAAGUAUUGUUUAGAAUAAUAUCUCAUAGAUAUUGCUCAUACCAAACCUGGCAGUUAGUUUAAAUAGAGACGGCCACUAGGUGGAAAGUAGAGAUAACUUCGCUAGUUACCAAUAAAUUCCAGUUGGUUAUUAAUUGUAAGAAUCUAAUGAUGAAUUUAUCCUUGAUUUACAUCCUUUUAUCGAUAGCCUUUUUACAACAUGUGUUUAGCUAAUAUUGUACACGCAUUUGAUUGCAUCUAUUGAAGGAAAGACGCAUAGACGGUGGAAAAUGUUGAAGCUUUAGAAUGAUCGUAUGUCAGCUCAAGAGAGAAGUUCUUUAAAGUAAAGCUGGAGUAUUUUAGAUAAACUCGAUGGGCACCCUAAGUUUUUUGAUGCAGACAACUAUAUAUACUGUCUUAAAAAAUAAAAUAAGUGCUUGUUUGGAGCAACUAGGUUAGUGAUUAUGUGAGCAUUUUUUAAUGUAUGGGGAACGCUACAUAUGUAGUCGUUCGUCGUUGGUUUUCACAAUUUUAAUUUGUUUUUGUACAAAUCGAGAAUGACGAUAUUUUUAUUUUGCCAUGGUAGUAUUAUAGUUAACUAGUGUUUGCUUAGCAACUGUCUUUUAUGCAAUGUAAUGGAAUAUUUAGCUCGAUUAUCAAAUACAUGGAGUGUAUUCACUUUGAA
rnacentral:misc_RNA from 1 species